GACGAACGCUGGCGGCGUGCCUAAUACAUGCAAGUUGAGCGAUGAAGAUUGGUGCUUGCACCAAUUUGAAGAGCAGCGAACGGGUGAGUAACGCGUGGGGAAUCUGCCUUUAAGCGGGGGACAACAUUUGGAAACGAAUGCUAAUACCGCAUAACAACUUUAAACAUAAGUUUUAAGUUUGAAAGAUGCAAUUGCAUCACUCAAAGAUGAUCCCGCGUUGUAUUAGCUAGUUGGUGAGGUAAAGGCUCACCAAGGCGAUGAUACAUAGCCGACCUGAGAGGGUGAUCGGCCACAUUGGGACUGAGACACGGCCCAAACUCCUACGGGAGGCAGCAGUAGGGAAUCUUCGGCAAUGGACGAAAGUCUGACCGAGCAACGCCGCGUGAGUGAAGAAGGUUGUCGGAUCGUAAAACUCUGUUGGUAGAGAAGAACGUUGGUGAGAGUGGAAAGCUCAUCAAGUGACGGUAACUACCCAGAAAGGGACGGCUAACUACGUG
rnacentral:rRNA from 1 species